CAUAAAAUAAAAGGUGAUUCCUGCCCAGUGAAUUUUAAACGGCCGCUAGUGUGCUAAGGUAGCAUAAUAACUUGCCUUUUAAUUGGAGGCUUGCAUGAAUGGACCUGUAAAUUAAAACUUUUUUACACUAAAGACUAUAACCUAAGAUUAAUGUGCAAACUCAUUAAUAAUUAUAAAAGACCAAAAGACCCCAGGAACUUUAAUUUUAACUUUAACCCUAUUAAGGAAAAAUUUACACCGGGAGAGUGAAGGAUAAACAUCCUUAAAAAAUUUAUUAUCCCCCUUUUAAAUAAAUAUUUAAGCUACCCUGGGGAUAACAGGCUACUCUUUUUUCAAAGCUCAAAUUUACAAAAAGACUUAGCACCUCGAUGUUGGCUUAAGAGUAUGUAAAAUGUAGCAGUUUUACUCAAUGGCUUGUUCCGCCAAUAAUUUCUUACGUGAU
rnacentral:rRNA from 1 species